rnacentral:lncRNA from 1 species
UUCGGGGUCGAAAAGGUUUUGUUGGCACCACUAUCAAUGCUGGCCUUAUCAAUUAAUGCGGCAGGAUUCACAGUGCUCGAUGCAGGAGCAAGAGGAGCCUUAGGGCGACAUGACUUGGUUGUAGGCGUAGUACAUGGAGGCGUGACAGGUUCCUUAUGACGGCAUGAUUUGGUUGUAGGUGUGGUACAUGCAGGACUGACAGGUUCCUUAUGACGGCAUGAUUUGGUUGUAGGUGUGGUACAUGCAGGACUGACAGAUUCCUUCGGACAACAUGAUCUGGUUGUAGGCAGAGUCACACCACUUUUGUUUACUUCACUAUGCUUGGUGGAACCAGUGGUUGCUGAAGCUGGCUCAGGCUUUCCUUUCUUUUUGGUGGUCAUGUUCUUAUUUACUGGCUUGGUUAAACAUGGCUUCUCGAUAGCCUUGCUUGAUG